ACGAGGCGGGAAGCGAGAGCAGCUGCAAGCAAAAGGCGGGAAGCGACGGCGGCGUUCUGCGCUCCUAUUGGCUGGCGGGCAGCCGGUGCACCUAUAUAAAGCGCACGGGCAGCACCUGAGGAAACAAAUGUUCGCCUCAGGGUGUGGCUGCGAAGGUACUGCUCGGGAAGAAAGCAAGAAAGCAGAUCUGCGAGCUGAGGGAAGGGAGCUGGCAGGGAUUAUACUUGCAUCUCUCAAAAAGAAGUGGUGGAGAUCAGAGAGAAAACCUCUUGACGUGUCCAUGGACAGGAGCUAAUACGGAAAGGGGGAAGUGCUGGAGUGGUGGAGAAAGCUGGGGAUGAAGCCCUAUGGAAAGGAAGCCUUAAUAGGUGAACAGUCCUGUUUUUCCUCAAAAAUCUUGCACUGGGGAUGUAAUAGAUAGUUGGAUCUUCUACGUCAAAAGAUUUUGCCUUGCAAGAAGUACUGGAGUCACAAUAGAACACUUCCAUUGUUUGUUCAAAGUGUGCAAGGAUGUUUUCCUCAAGUUCCAAAUAAAUCGUUUUCAGAAAGUGUCUUACAGUUGCCUAGUAAGCAGUGGAAAUAUUACUAACUGGGGAAAAGGGAAUGAAUGUGAGCCAAAGGCUUUAGUGAUUAACCUGAUGGUGAAAGAAGUAGGUGUGCACUCGACCACCCUAAGUACCACUGAGCAUGCUCAAAGGGACAUAAGCACGUAUCUAUCAGACCUUGAAAUUUACUAUUUGUCU